CCUACGGGUGGCAGCAGUGAGGCAUAUUGGUCAAUGGGCGGAAGCCUGAACCAGCCAAGUCGCGUGAGGGAGUCAGGCCCUACGGGUCGUAAACCUCUUUUGCCGGGGAGCAGUGCCCUGCUCGUGCGCUGGGAGUGAGCGUACCCGGAGAAAAAGCAUCGGCUAACACCGUGCCAGCAGCCGCGGUAAUACGGGGGAUGCGAGCGUUAUCAGGAUUUUUUGGGUUAAAAGGGUACUAAAGCGGUCCUUCAGGCCGGCGGUAAAAUUGCGGGGCGAAACCCCGCCGAGCGGUCGGAACUGGGGGCCUUGAGUACCGGAGAGGUACGCGGAAUGCGUGGUGUAGCGGUGAAAUGCAUAGAUAUCACGCAGAACCCCGAUUGCGAAGGCAGCGUACCGGCCGGUCACUGACGCUGAGGCACGAAAGCGCGGGUAUCGAACAGGAUUAGAUACCCGUGUAGUC
rnacentral:rRNA from 1 species